rnacentral:tRNA from 1 species
GAGGGUAUAGUUCAGGCAUAGAGUGAGUGCCUAGCAUGCAUAAAGUCCUGGGUUCAAUCCCCAGUACCUCCA